AUUGAACGCUGGCGGCAGGCCUAACACAUGCAAGUCGAGCGAGCGGCGGACGGGUGAGUAAUGUCUGGGAACCUGCCCGAUGGAGGGGGAUAACUACUGGAAACGGUAGCUCAUACCGCAUACCAUCAGAUGUGCCCAGAUGGGAUUAGCUAGUAGGUGGGGUAACGGGUAACCUAGGCGACGAUCCCUAGCUGGUCUGAGAGGAUGACCAGCAACACUGGAACUGAGACACGGUCCAGACUCCUACGGGAGGCAGCAGGGGGGAAUAUUGCACAAGGGGCGCAAGCCUGAUGCAGCCAUGCCGCGUGUGUGAAGAAGGCCUUAGGGUUGUAAAGUACUUUCAGCGGGGAGGCGUUACCCGCAGAAGAAGCACCGGCUAACUCCGUGCCAGCAGCCGCGGUAAUUC
rnacentral:rRNA from 1 species